rnacentral:lncRNA from 1 species
CCCCGAGGUGCCAGCCUCACGCGCAGGGACCGUGCGCCCGCGGCCAGCUGUUCCCGCUCGGGAGCAGCCAGGCGGGGCCGGGGAGGAGCCGCCCCGCGCACCUCGGCUCCGCACCUCGGCCGCGCCCUCCGCCCGCCUCACCGUCCGCAGCUGCCCCGCCGCCCGCCCGGGCCUCCGCCGCCUCCAGUGGUGUCGCCUCGACCGCCGCCGCCACCGCGGCAAAGCCAGGUUGCAAAUUGGCAGAGGAAACCAGCCUGGAGCACUGGCCUUGGAGCAGGUUUGGGGAGCAGUGCUAGAGUGCAGUUUUAGAGCUGGCAGCAGCAGCAGCCCAGGAGGAGGCUAAUGACCCGAAGCUGCCAUUCAUUCAGUUUGAGAACCUAAAUGACUUCAAUAUUUGGUACAGAAGAAACAAGUUGGGCAUGGUGGCACACGAUGUAAUCUCAGCAAAAGUUGAAAUCCCAGAAGAAGCAAGCUUACCUCCAGCAUCAGAGGCCUUCUCAACAGAACUGAUGUAUCUGGCAACUUUUUCUAGGACAGGCACAUUUAGUGUCAUUCACUAACCUGAACAACAAACAGGAGCGUCUAUGUCUUUGGAUAAAUUUGUUUAUAAAUGUUAUUAAAUAGUAUUGUAAUAAUGAAAAAAAAAAUUUUUUUUAAAGGCUGAGGAUGUAGCUCAGUGGCUAAACACUUACCUAGCAGGCCUGGUGCCUCCGGAUCAAUCCCCACUACUCCAAAAAAUGAAACGAGGGGUCAAUUCAUGGCAUUCACUUCACUCACAUUGUUGAGCAACCAUCACCCCUAUUUACAAUAUUUUCACCACUAGGGAAGGAAACCUGUAUCCAUUAGCCAAUCGCUCUCCAUCU